GUGUUACCUUUACAAGUUUGUAUGUUUUCAUAACAAAAGAACCAGACACCAGUGAAGACAAGCAGCCCUCAGAAUUCCUCUGUUGUGGUUCCCUCAAAAAUCUGUAUCCAGAACAACUUCAAAGGGGCUCACUAAGAUGGUCCAGCCUAACAGACUACUCUAACCAGGACUUCAGUAUGCUGUACAAAUUGGACACGAAGGACACAAAGAAGGCAACUGCUAAACUUUGCCAAAACAAGAAGGAUUCCUUGAUUCCAUUUGGUGUCUUGGUGGAUGGAAAGAGAACAGAAUCGGUCUUUCAAGCAGAAACUUAGAGGACAGAUGGAAGUUUCAAGGACUGAACCUAAACUAAGGUUAAUAAGCCAGUGUUUGAGUGGAUGGAUCAACUUCAAUGGAGGCACCAUCCAAACCAGUGGAGAGAAAAUAACUCCAAAAGUGAGCGCAACAUGAGCCAGUCAACACAACACUGAGAUGGGGUCACAUAUACACAAGAAUAUCUGACAUGUGGGAACGGCAGACGAUGGACAGAAAUGGCCACCCAGUCCUCGGGGAAGGAGGGACGUCGUGCAGCAGUGGUGGAGUCUGACUGGCAGCUCCUUUGGGAUCCGCCUUGCCACUGAGAAUGGUUUCACCCCAGGGCUUGCCCAUUCUGAUGGCAAUGAGCAUGCACUGACCCACUGCAGAGGGCUAUGAAAACAGGCCUUUCCCACCCAAUGAGAAGAAACUCUCCCGGGUCAAUAUGCUCCAGACCUCCCUGCUGUGUGGCUGGCCCAACCUUUUUUAGGUCUGAAGAGCAGUUUGACCCUCCCUUAACCAGCUCUGAGCUGAUAGCCUCUCUUCCACUGAGGUCCACUCGGAUGUGAAACACCCCCAGGAAUGUUCAAGUAAAGACCUGCUGCCCAGAGCAGGUGUAUAGUCACAAGACAGUCCUCAGCGGCCAGCCUGUUUCAGACUGUCUCGGGAGCAGGGUGCCACAGAUUGCAAGGUCACCCCCUUUCUGGGAACAGCCAGCAGACAGUGGCUGAAUGAGGCGGGACUACAGAGGCCCAUCACUUAACGCAUUGAGUUGUAAGGGGCACUACCGUUCAGGCAUCCCACCUGUCUCUUUCACAGGUGACGCCAUCCACGAACAUCUGAGUCUAUUCCCCAAGAGCCCAACCUGCAGCAAAGACAGAAACAAAUACGUGAAUCAAAGUUGCCUCAAAUCCUAAGUCAUAACAACCCUGUGCUGGCUAGUUUUGUGUCAACAUGACACAAGCUGGAGUUACUGGGAAAGAGGGAACUUCAGUUGAGAAAAUACUUUCGUGAGAUCUGGUUGCAAGGCAGGAGGAGCAAACUAGUAAGUUCUUCCAUAGCCUCUCCUCCAGCACCUGCCUCCAGGUGCCUGCCUUGGCUUUCCUUGAUGAUGAACUGUGAUAUGGAAGUAUAAAUCAAAUACACCCUCUCCUCCCCAAGUCAUUUUUAGUCAUGGUGUUUACCAUGGCUAUAGAGAAAAAAAACUAAGACAGUACCAUAUUUUCAUUAUCCAUUCAACCGUUUAUGGUCAAGUAGGUUGGCUCCAUUUCUUUGGUACAACGAAUAAAGCAGAAAUAAAUGUGGGGUGAAA